GGCGAACGCUGGCGGCGUGCUUAACACAUGCAAGUCGAACGCUGAACCCGCUUCGGUGGGGGAUGAGUGGCGAACGGGUGAGUAACACGUGGGCAACCUGCCCCCGGCUCUGGGAUAACUCCAAGAAAUUGGGGCUAAUACCGGAUGUGACCGCUGGCCGCAUGGUCUGGUGGUGGAAAGGGUUUCCGGCUGGGGAUGGGCCCGCGGCCUAUCAGCUUGUUGGUGGGGUAGUGGCCUACCAAGGCGACGACGGGUAGCCGGCCUGAGAGGGUGACCGGCCACACUGGGACUGAGACACGGCCCAGACUCCUACGGGAGGCAGCAGUGGGGAAUAUUGCGCAAUGGGCGGAAGCCUGACGCAGCGACGCCGCGUGGGGGAUGACGGCCUUCGGGUUGUAAACCUCUUUCAGCAGGGACGAAGCGCAAGUGACGGUACCUGCAGAAGAAGCACCGGCCAACUACGUG
rnacentral:rRNA from 1 species